rnacentral:sRNA from 1 species
UCCGAACUCAAGUACAAAAUGUCUCUAUGCCCCCCUGUACAACAACAGUUUAUUAAUGACAUUUCUUGAUAUGGGAAUACUAUUGAUUUUAACGUCAUAUCUGAACUGAAAGUCAAGUCAGCUUCUUUUACAGUGGUGCUGUUUUUUGUGUGCACAGAUGCUGCAUUUUUGCGCUUCAUGUUAUGUUUUUUCCCAAGUAUUCUCAUUGAAUAAAAUACAUUAAACUAUCCAUACAGU